UGCACGUCAUAGAAAAAGACAUUCAUAAUAUUCAGUACGUCAUCCCACAGCCAGGAGGAACAGCGGACCGUCUUCUGAAUCAUCCUCUUGUAUGAUCU
rnacentral:lncRNA from 1 species